rnacentral:rRNA from 1 species
CCUACGGGAGGCAGCAGUAGGGAAUAUUGCACAAUGGGGGAAACCCUGAAGCAGCAACGCCGCGUGGAGGAUGAAGGUUUUCGGAUUGUAAACUCCUUUUGUUAGAGAAGAUAAUGACGGUAUCUAACGAAUAAGCACCGGCUAACUCCGUGCCAGCAGCCGCGGUAAUACGGAGGGUGCAAGCGUUACUCGGAAUCACUGGGCGUAAAGAGGGCGUAGGCGGGAUAGCAAGUCAGAUGUGAAAUCCUAUGGCUUAACCAUAGAACUGCAUUUGAAACUGUUAGUCUAGAGUAUGGGAGAGGUAGGUGGAAUUCGUGGUGUAGGGGUGAAAUCCGUAGAGAUCAAGAGGAAUACUCAUUGCGAAGGCGACCUGCUAGAACAUAACUGACGCUGAUGCGCGAAAGCGUGGGGAGCAAACAGGAUUAGAUACCCGAGUAGUC